rnacentral:rRNA from 1 species
UACGUAGGGACCGAGCGUUGUCCGGAAUCAUUGGGCGUAAAGAGCGUGUAGGCGGCCUGUCAAGUCUUGCGUGAAAUCUCGGGGCUCAACCCCGAGCGGUCGUGAGAAACUGGCAGGCUAGAGUGCGGGAGAGGAGAGUGGAAUUCCUGGUGUAGCGGUGAAAUGCGCAGAUAUCAGGAAGAACACCCGUGGCGAAGGCGGCUCUCUGGAACGCAACUGACGCUGAGACGCGAAAGCGUGGGGAGCAAACAGG